AAAAUCUUGGACUUGGACCUCUCUCAUUUGAGCCCACAGGUCCACAAAAAUCAGGUUAUAAAUUCAGAGUUUCAGUGAAACAAAAGGAAUUCUAUUCCUAUUACCCUGUCUGGGAAGAAGAUAUUUAGAGAAGAACCCUAGGGAAAAAGAUAGUGAGAGAAGAGCUAACAGAGUUCAGAGCAGCCUCCAAACCCUGAAGGGAACUCAACU
rnacentral:lncRNA from 1 species